ensembl:snRNA U6 U6 spliceosomal RNA
AUGCUCACUUGGCAGCACAUAUACUAAAACUGGAACAAUACAGAGGGGAUUAGUAUGGGCCUCUGCGUGAGGAUGAGACUCAAAUUCUUGAGGUGUUCCGUAUUUUC